CGGGCCCAUACCCCGACAAUGUUGGUAUCAAACCCCUCCUGUACUA
rnacentral:tRNA from 1 species